CAAUAACUCAAUCACUUUAACCAAAUCCUUCUCUACAACUUUCGCACCUUUUGAAAUUAUCGAUUCGAACGCAGACACCUGUCCAGCAAGCCUAUCAACUUCAAAACUGAUGUCUGCUAUAGUUUUAGCAGCCUUCUCCAUCUUAGCAUUCUUUCUCAACUCAAGGUACCGUUUCUCUUGGCAAAGUGGAUCUUCAACUACAACAAUCUUCGACUUAUCUUUAACACCGGAAAUAUCAAGGAAAGCAUUGUUGUCUCUUUCUUUGUCUUUGUAUAAUAACUUCUGAUCUUGGUGGUGCAGCCCUGUCGGCCCCGUUAACAUCUUCUUCAAUUCACCAAAAGUUGCUUGAGGACUGAUAUUGAUUUCAUGGUAAAUUGACCCAUACUUAACCCGGACCCGAAUCGGAGGUGGAGGAGGACGGUUUUCCGCAUCCGGGUUACGCUUCUGAACCAACAUUCCACCGUGCUGCUGCCGACAACGAAUGGGAAGUCCGACCCGGUGGAAUGUUGGUU
rnacentral:misc_RNA from 1 species